GAGCUCUGGCUGGCAUUC
rnacentral:misc_RNA from 1 species